rnacentral:rRNA from 1 species
AUGAACGCUGGCGGCGUGCCUAAUACAUGCAAGUCGAGCGAACAGACGAGGAGCUUGCUCCUCUGACGUUAGCGGCGGACGGGUGAGUAACACGUGGAUAACCUACCUAUAAGACUGGGAUAACUUCGGGAAACCGGAGCUAAUACCGGAUAAUAUAUUGAACCGCAUGGUUCAAUAGUGAAAGACGGUUUUGCUGUCACUUAUAGAUGGAUCCGCGCCGCAUUAGCUAGUUGGUAAGGUAACGGCUUACCAAGGCAACGAUGCGUAGCCGACCUGAGAGGGUGAUCGGCCACACUGGAACUGAGACACGGUCCAGACUCCUACGGGAGGCAGCAGUAGGGAAUCUUCCGCAAUGGGCGAAAGCCUGACGGAGCAACGCCGCGUGAGUGAUGAAGGUCUUCGGAUCGUAAAACACUGUUAUUAGGGAAGAACAAAUGUGUAAGUAACUAUGCACGUCUUGACGGUACCUAAUCAGAAAGCCACGGCUAACUACGUG